rnacentral:lncRNA from 1 species
ACCACGGACAAGGUUACACUGUCUUUUGGUCUGACUUGACCUUUCUUCACUUUGGCCAGCCACUUCGCGCCCAUCUUCGAUCUAGCGUGUUGCUUGCACACUUUGAUGAAAUACACGAUCCAAGUAGUGAGCAAGUUAAGAGGCGAUGGGGCGGUGGUCGUUCUGCAACACGGAAUCGUGUGUCCAGCCUAUCCCGCAGAUUCGUUUCACGAGAAAGAACUACACGGUGACGAAACAUGCGGCGCGGAGGCGGUUCAAUGCGGGAAACUGACAGCGAAAAUUAGCGAGAAAUGCGUACGAUGCACAAUAGAGGCUGUGGAGAAACGCGCGCUCGAUUGGCGCCUCCGUGAAAUAAGGAAGAAACUGGCGGUGGUCGCCAACCCACUCGGUGGGAUGCUAAGAUCUCGAGAUCGGAACCGAGAUCGAGCUGUAGACACCGAGUAGCUGCUAUUCGGACUCGCGACCAGGCAAUUAGGAUUUGGGAAAAGCAUCAACAUCCUUUUGUCUUUCGUGUUGCACGAGAGUGCUUAUGAUGCCAACAUGACCGUACUUCGCUGCCGUGUGAAUUGACCUGGCGCCACGUUUAUUUGGCAUGUGCAAGUAGACGCCCUUCUUGAAGAGCAUCGU